CGUGCGUCGGAGGGCUCCCGAGGCUCUGGGGUCAGAUGGCAGUGCCGUUUGCCGUCUCUGCCGUGAGCAGCUCAGCCACAGAGCAAGGCCAGCGACGGUGGUUUCGUGCUCUGCGUUCCCGGCAUCGUUAGCGUGGAGGGGGGCACGGAGUACAGCGUACCUUCUCGAGGGACCGAGAGAUACGUGGACGCGGUUUCAUCUUCAGGAGCGAGAGUCUGAAGGAGAGAGGGACCAAGCCGACCAUGGGCGUUGACGGUGCCACUCGGGCCUCCUCUCUAAGCGAAGCAACUAUGAAGGAACGGCUCAGGUUGCAUAACGGGGGCCCCCAGGCGCGUGUGACCAAGCUGCCGCUUCCGGCUUGUACCUUUCGCCUCUUUGCAAAGCCACCCGGGAGUCAGCGGAAACGUGUGUGGUGGGCAAGGGAAGGGAAGAAGUGUGCUCCGAGGACAGGAGAGCGAUCUAGCCAGUGCCCGUGCAUCUGUCAAGCCAAAUGUGGUCUUUUGGGGGAAAAUCAGCUUCUGAAGAUGAGGUUUACAGCAGGAAUGACCUUCUACAACUUUGCGUAUCGUAUCUCCCCCUCCUCCAAAAAAUUAAUAAAACCAGCAGAGUCGCUU